AUUUGUCCCAGUUUGCUGGGUUUUUCUGUGAUGCAAGACUUCUAGUGUUAGGUCCAGGGGAAAACAAGGAUAUCACUCUAGUUUUUAAAAAGUCAUUAUGUGCCAAGCACUACAUGCUAUGUGUACUAUAUGCUAAGCACUGUGCUAGCUACUUUAUACAUGCUAUUUAGUCCUAACAAACCUGUGGUAAAAGUAAUAUCCUUAUGUCCUUGGAGAAGCAACUGAGGCUCCAUGCAGUAGGAUGGUCUAGCUAAAAUCAUAGGCAUCUGGGUAGGUUCCCUUAAAGCAGGUGGGAGUGUUUCAGAACUCCCAGAACUGUUAAGGUCUUCAUUCUGAGGUCUUCGUCUAUAUUUCUUUUCUUGGCCCAUAAUACAGAAGCCCUGUCAGAAUGCAGCCAGUGACUUGCUGGUGAUCACAUCAAUACACAGUUCUAAACAUAUCAUGGCCAGACUCUUUAGAAUGAAGUGAACUGGAGUGAGCCUCUUGUAAAUAUCAACAAAAUCAUCUCCAAGGGUAAGGAAAUGGUCAGGAGCAAGGGAGGAGUCACAGGUACAUUCAUUUGCAAAACAAUCUUGGUUCCUUCUUAGCCAUUGACCCUUUAGUAGAAGGUGGGAGUGGGAGAAGUGAUCAGAGCAAAUCCCCUGUGCCCUUCCAGAGCUCACAUUUUCUCAGUGCCCCAUCAUUUUCCAAGAGUCAUCAGCAUUACUUCCCAGCCCCUAGCAAAAAGAGAGUUUUACCCCUGGAAAACUCUUCCCAGUUGCCUGGCAUCAAAAGACAUUCCCAGGCCUUUUGGAAGGAAGCUGUCUUUCUGAAAAUGAGGAAUUUCUUUAGGGAAGUCUGGGGCUUUCUCUGCUAAUUAUGGGGGAAUGUAUUAUCUGUCUGUGCUCUCCUCUCUGACUGCAUUUUUGUGUCCUGAACAGCUAUCCUUGUUAUAGCCUUAACAACUUGAAAACAUACUUGCAUUUGCUACUGGUACUUCCAGUGGAAUCCAUUAGUUGCCCGUUUCAUUCCAAUGAGUAACUUUUGAUAAAAGGCCCAGGAUUUAUUAUUAUUGUUGUUUGCCUAACAAGAACUGCCUACUGUCGGCACUGUUUUACCUGUUCUCUUGAGUCCAAGGCUACCAGAGAAUAAUGUUCUUCAGUAUCCUCCCUCCCACUCCUAUUCUCUGGCCUCCAGCCAGCCAGAGAGAUUUCAGAAAGGGCAUGAGGAAGUGUGCUCACAGAGAUUCACUCUUAUACUUCAAACUUUUGAUGCAAACUCUCCCAGACACAUAGACUAUUGGAACUAGAGGGACCUUCAGAUAUCAGCUAGUUUAACUCAGUCUAGAAUCAGUAAAGCAGUGAUCACCAGAAAGGGCCAGGGUACUAGAUCUCAUAGCUGCCAAAAUCUAAAUUAUCUUCAGAAGAUUUCUUACUGUCUGAAUAUUAUCCUAUCCCUAGAGCAGACAAGGAGAUUGAAGUUCUAGCAGGGAGUCUGGCUUCUUGAUACCUUGAUCUAGCAGAAGAGUGUUCUGCUAUCCCCCAAUCCAUGAAAAGGUCAGUGUUUGUACUCAAGUGCUUACUCCCCUGCAGGAAAGCCUUGGAGUAGGGAAGGAGGAAGCCUGGUCAUCAGAGGGUUUGUUGAGUUCACUGUUGUCUCAAUGUCUUUCACUGCCAGGAUUUUUGUUGUAGUUCAUUUAGCUAGCUUGAAAUAAUUUUUAAGUUGAAUAAUUGACUUUUCUCUAAGGUUUUUGCUUCUACAUCCUUCUUAAAGUACCUCCACAAACCAACAGGCAGCAGUAUGUGUUAAGACUAAGGAUCCAGGCAGCCUCUCUAGUUUUAUUUUGUUGUUUCCUGAAUGUGUGGGUUGUGAUUUUU
rnacentral:lncRNA from 1 species